UCCUACGGGGGGCAGCAGUGGGGGAUAUUGCACAAUGGGGGGAACCCUGAUGCAGCGACGCCGCGUGGGUGAAGAAGCGCCUCGGCGCGUAAAGCCCUGUCAGCAGGGAAGAAAAUGACGGUACCUGAAGAAGAAGCCCCGGCUAACUACGGGCCAGCAGCCGCGGUAAUACGUAGGGGGCAAGCGUUAUCCGGAUUUACUGGGUGUAAAGGGGGCGCAGUCGGCGAUGCAAGCCAGGAGUGAAAGCCCGAGGCCCAACCUCGGGACUGCUCUUGGAACUGCGCGGCUGGAGUGCAGGAGGGGCG
rnacentral:rRNA from 1 species